AAUGUGUGAUGACGUCACUAGCUGCCGCAGUGAGAAUUUUUCUUACGCCAUCUUGAAAAAUCUUUCCAGAAGAACAGAGUCUAAUCUCAGUGGCACGUGUCCAUCAUUCUAUUAUAUUACUGUUUACCAAGACGGAUUUUAAAAACGAAUAAUAUUCCAAACUUGAAAAAAUGGCUAACCGAAAUCUAAAGCAGGUUAAAAUCCAGAACAGCUCAUCGCCUCCAGUAAAUAAAAAUCAGAAACGCGAGUCCGAUUCGCCAGAUAAGCAGGAGCCGAAGAUGUCGGCGGCGUCUGGAGGAGAACCAGGCGCCGGCGAACCCCUCGAGUUAGGACUAACUCUGGACCUAAAAAACUUCAAGAGGCCCGGCGAGAAGACAUUCACCCAGCGCUGCCGGCUCUAUGUCGGUAACCUACCAACUGACCUAACUGAGGACGAUUUCAAGAAGCUGUUUGCAAAAUAUGGUGAAGCAAACGAGGUGUUUAUCAAUCGUGACCGUGGCUUUGGCUUCAUUCGGCUGGAAACAAGGACUUUGGCUGAAAUUGCAAAAGCAGCACUAGAUGGAACUAUAGUAAAAAACAGACCGCUCCGUAUUCGAUUUGCUACCCAUGGUGCUGCUUUGACUGUACGGAAUCUGUCACCAGUCGUUUCCAAUGAGCUGCUUGAACAGGCCUUUUCUCAGUUUGGUCCUGUGGAGAGAGCAAUUGUCGUGGUAGAUGACCGUGGAAGGCCAACUGGGAAAGGGUUUGUAGAAUUUGCAUCUAAACCUGCAGCUCGAAAAGCCAUGGAUAGAUGUGCAGAGGGAGCAUACUUACUAACAACAUCGCCCCGUCCUGCUAUUGUUGAGCCAAUGGAGCAGUUUGACGAUGAAGAUGGAUUUCCAGAAAAAUUAAUGCAGAAAACACCACAAUAUCAUAAAAAUACAAUUUAUUUUAGGGAAAGAGAGCAGCCCCCUCGUUUUGCUCAGCCUGGAACAUUUGAGUUUGAAUAUUCAUCUCGAUGGAAGGCCCUUGAUGACAUGGAAAAGCAACAGCGUGAUCAGGUUGACAGAAAUAUCCGAGAAGCGAAAGAGAAACUUGAAGCUGAAAUGGAAGCCGCUCGUCAUGAACAUCAGCUUAUGCUAAUGAGACAAGAUCUUAUGAGGCGUCAAGAAGAGCUAAGGCGUUUGGAAGAACUGCGAAACCAAGAACUUCAGAAGCGCAAGCAGAUUGAAAUGAGACAUGAGGAAGAAAGACGACGACGUGAAGAAGAAAUGAUGCGGCAGAGAGAGCAAGAGGAAAUGAGGCGGCAACAAGAUGGCUUCAAGUCCAAUUUUAUGGAUAACAGAGAACAGGAAAUGAGAAUGGGUGAUAUGGGUCCCCGAGGAGCAAUUAAUAUGGGAGAUACGUAUAGCCCAGUAGCUGCUGGUAACCAAGGCCCUCCUCAAAUGAUGGGUAUGAAUAUGAACAACAGAGGAGCAAUGUCUGGCACUGCUAUGGGACCUGGUCCUGCCAUGGGGCCAGAAGGAGCAGCAAACAUGGGAGCACCAAUGAUGCCAGAUAACGGAACAAUGGAAACUGCUCACUUCCUGAAGAUGAACGAGAUACAAGCUACUGCUUCCACCCUGGAAGAACUGCUUCAGUAUAAGAGCUUCUGGAACAUCAAUUGCUCCGUGCCAGGCUCAGCACACGACGCAAGGGUUCUUCGUAGCUCGUCCCUUUUUGAAAAGGCUGAUCAAAUUCCAAAGAAAAACAUUUUCCAGAUGGCAGGAAAGAAAUCACUUUUCCUGAUCAGGCCAUAAAGAAUUUGUAUCCUGAUGGGCAGGAAGAAAGCAUAUUCCCAGAUGGCACGAUUAUAAGAGUAAAGCUAGAUGGGAGCAAAAUUAUUGAAUUCAACAACGGGCAAAGAGAACUGCAUACCCCAGAGUACCAGAGAAGAGAGUACCCGGAUGGAACGGUGAAGACUGUCUACUCCAAUGGUCAACAAGAAACUAAAUACCCUACUGGCAGAGUAAGGAGCAAAGACAAAGAUGGAAAUAUCAUAAUGGACACUAAAACAUAGCAACCUGGACUUCUGAAGUUUGUUCAGGGCUUAAAUCUGAAUGUCAAAAGGUGCUCGCCAGUUUAAAAAUAUUUAACAAAAGCAGUAGCUGAUUGAUGGCUUAGGGCUUGACAUGGCUUAGAAUUAUUUAUUUUCUUUCUACGUUUUUUUGUGCAGUAAAUGUGAGUGGAAAUGUUAAGUCUUCAUGUAUGUAUGUAUGUAUAUGUAGGUGUGUGUGUGUUGAUAUGUGUAUAUGUGUGUGUGUAUAUGUGUAUAUGUGUGUAUAUAUAUAUAUAUAUACAUACAUACAUACAUACAUACAUACACUGUAAAUUAAUUUUAUAUUAAAAUGUAUUAAUUAUUAACUUGAUUUUCAGGGUACAGAUGGUAUUUCACAUUUGUAGCACAAUUUGUUCUAAUGAGCCAAGACUUGGGCUAUAGCCAUACAUGUUGCUUCUAGCUGGUAGUGUCUAUUCGUUUUGGAAAAAGGACAUCUCCAAUGAAAAGAAAAUGGACAGAGAAAUUGCUGACAAGAAAAAAAAUAAAUAAAUAAAUUAAAACAAGAGACCAAUGCUUGUCCCAUUCUUAACCAUUAUUUGUUCCUAGAAUCACAUCGAGAUGGCUCAUCAAGGAUCCCAAUGUGUCUCCAAAGUGAGCAGUGUGGUCUCACCAGGGCAUUUUACAGCUCUGUCAUACCCCCCUGAUUUAUAUUGCACAAUGCUUUAUUAUAUAACCAAGCAUUCUGUUAACCAUUGCUGCCUGGAUGCUACAUCGGUCUGGUGUAGUGGACCAGCUAUUUUACUACCACGUAUUGUAUUUGUAUCCUACAUUUCUGUUGCUGGUGUGGGACGAUGUAUUGAACAUAUCUGCCCAAUUCUGUAGACCCAACAUCUUGGAAAACAAACAGCAUAUUGUAAUAAGCACGUUUUGUUGCAUGGUCAGUCCAGAUAUUUUGUUUUAUAUCGUUACAGUACUUUGGUUAAAGGCAGUUAUUUAAACAACCAUCAUAGCAGGGAAUUGAGCUAACUUUCCAUCCUCCAAAAACUGUACAGAUAGUCUGGAUUAGCAACAACUGUAUGUACAGUGUAAAACACAAAGGAAUUAACAGGUGACGCACCUCAUUUCUGUGGCCGGAAGUAAAUUGACUUCUAAGAGAUUAAAUAAUAUACAGAUUCAAAGCGUAAUGCAAAAAACUUUCAUUUCACUCUGCAGAAAAAUAAACAUUGAAAUGGUCACUGAACAGAAGAUUUUCUUUCAAGCAGUGUUUCUAGAUUAAACCUUUAAACAAGGCUUUCUUGCUCUAAAAAUCUGCAACAAAUGUAUGUUUUGGUUACUAAUUACCAUUAACAGUAAUAACAACAAAAAGUUAAUUAACAAUGAUCAUUUAACAGAACAUUUCCUUCAGGUGCCUGUCAUCUUAGUAAGAAUUUGGCUUUUCUUUUUGUAAACAAUUUCCUGAACACAGGCUUACGCACAUAUUUUAGUUACCAAAAACUGUAAUAAAACAAAAAACAUUCACAUUUUAAUCUAAAGGCAAAUAUAAUGGACAACACAGCAAUGUCCUGCUUUUUCGCUCUGCUCAUUUCUGAAAUAAAAACAUAAUUUUUAAAUAUUAAUGAAUGUGUGUGCUUCAUCUGCAUAAAUAGAGUAGGUUUAGCAGGAAAACAAGUGUUGCUGUACCUGUUUUCCUAAUCAUACUCUGCAAAACCACUUUCCACAAACUGCACGUGAACUACUGUUCUCCCGUCAUACAAGUAUACAAUGGGCUCUGGAUCCUUUGACUGAAAAGAAAAACAUCAAGACUGUCACAUUCUUUGGAAAUUAAUUAUCUUAACUUCGCUUUAUGAAAAGAUAACCUUUAAAAUGGGUUGUGUCCUGAAAAUGGUACCAAUGGUGACAAGCUUUUGUUUUGCUUAUGGAGCUUACUGUGCGUGAGGCACUGGAAUUUCACGCAAUUCUUCAAGCACUGAUGAUAAGAGUUCCAGAUACUCACCAAUCUCAAUUCUGUAGUGCAGCAUAACAAGCCAUACUUUGCCAUUUUUAUGGCCAUGUGUAAUAGAACUUGAUGGUUAUUAUAACUGAAGUUCUAUUUUCAGUUCUUUUUUUAACUUAGUUAUGUAUUUAUACCCACAGAACAUGAUACUGCUUUCCAAGUGAAAAAUCAAGCAGCUUUUGUAAGUGUUACAAACCUACUAUUCCUGUUACAAAUGAUGUGUACCAUAAUAUGCGACAGUAAACAAGUUAUACUGAGCAUCAAAAGAAACAUCACUAUUAUGGAACAUUUAUUUUUGGAAAAAAAUAAGGUAUAUACAUGAUGGACAUUGACGAAAGGUUUUUGUUUCUUUUUAAUCACUCGAUCAUUCAUCCUUGACCAUGACACACUUAAGUGACUAUGACUGAAGCAUAUGCACUUAAUCACCUAAUUAGUGAGACAAUUGAUUGGACGUUGACCAGUGAUUUCUGCUGUUGAAUUGCAAGCUUGAAUAAAAGCAAUAAAGAAAAUCACAGAAAAACACCAACAUGCCACGUCUGUCAAGAGAGCAGCGCCUUCAUGCAAUCAGCAUGUUGGUGGCUGGAUUAGGGCAGCGUACUGUGACUUGCCGUCUUGGGUGCUCACAGCCAGCAAUUUCAAACCUGGCGAGACGGUAUAACCAGACACACUCUGUCAAUGACAGACCACAAACUGGGAGACCAAGAGUCACAACACCUGCCCAAGAUCAACAGAUCAAUAUGCAGCAUCUUCAUGACUGUUUUCGCUCUGCUAGUUAAACAGCAUCUGAUACUGCAGGUCAUAACAAUCCACGCAUCAGCAGUUCAGCUGUAAGAAGGCGGUUACACAGUCAUGAUCUACAGGCCAAAUGACCAUACAGGGGUCCGGGGCUCAGCAAUGUGCACCGUCGCAACAGAAUGAGGUGGUGCCAACAACACCUUAGGUGGACUCGCCUUCAGUGGAGCCAGGUCCUCUUCAGUGAUGAAUCGAGAUUCUGCAUAGACUGCCCUGAUGGAUGUCGGCGAGUAUGGCAUAGACGUGGUGAACGAUAUGUUAGUUGUUGUGUAUGAGAGACCAAUCGGUGGGGAGGUCCAAGUGUGAUGGUCUGGGCAGGAGUGUCUGGUCGCUACAGAAGUCCGCUGGUAGUGAUUGAUGGCAACAUGACUGCACAGCGAUAUGUUGACCAAGCCCUAAGGCCUCACUUGGUGACAACAUCCCAGCAAGACAACGCACGUCCACAUGUUGCUUGUGUCACGACAGCUGUCUUGCAGAAUGUGAACAUGAGAGUCAUGCCAUGGAUGCCUUAUUCCCCAGACCUGAGCCCAAUUGAACAUUCGUGGGAUGAACUUGGGUGAUGUGUGGCUUCUAGGGCUCGGAGACCACUGAACAGGCAGAUGCUUAUCCAGGCACUACAAGAGGAAUGGGCCAGGAUUCCACAAGGCAACAUCUGAACCUGGUGCAAAGCAUGGGUCACAGAGGUACUGCUUGUAUUGCUUCCAACAGUGCCCACACGCUACUAGCCUGUGGCUUUCACAUUAUCCUAUCCCCCCAUAACUUCAGACAGUAAAAUGUCAAUUGUUGGCGAGCACAAUAAAAAGUCACUGCACCUGCUCUGAGACAGAGUUUGUCAUUUUUCGAUCACAUCUAGUGCAUUUUAUCCAAAGAUGAGUGAUACGUUUCUUUUGAUGCUCAAAUAUAAGUGAUAAGGUUCUUUUGAUGCUCAAAUAUACGUGAUAGGUUUCUUUUAUCGCUCAAUAAACUUCAAUUUGUACCCAUAGCGUAUGAUCAAAGGCAUUUUCUUUACAGCCACAGACAUAAGCACAUUACAAACAUAACGCUCUGGAUUAAAAAACGAUCUCCAAGCACAGUAAACCUGUGGUGAAAAGUAUGUCGAUGGAUCAUAACAAAAGACCACACAGAUAAACAAAUAAUGAGUUUACACAUAGAGGAGGCUGUGUGGUCCAGUGGUUAAAGAAAAGUGCUUGUAACCAGGAGGUCCCCGGUUCAAAUCCCACCUCAGCCACUGACUCAUUGUGUGACCCUGAGCAAGUCACCUAACCUCCUUGUCCUCUGUCAUUCAGGAGUGGUAAGACGUAGUUGUAAGUGACUCUGCAGCUAAUGCAUAGUUCACACUCCCUAGUCUCCUGUAAGUCGCCUUGGAUCGAGGCGUCUGCUAAAUAAACAAAUAAUAAUAAUAAUAACAUGCAAUACUAUAGCAAGACAAUGAGAGAUAAAGCACCAAACAGUAGUGAACAUAAUUAGAUUUGUGUAGGAGAUCUACCAUGUAAGAUUUGAAUUAAUAUAUACAUGUAUUAUGAUGAUUAGCAUGCCAUAAAACACUUAAUCCAAAACAUUUUUUAGCAAGAUAACUGAUUUUUAUAUAAAGCUUACCACCCUAAAAGCUAGAAGUUUUUUCUCCUGCAACAGGCUUAGUAUGGUCCACAGUGCUUCCAGACUCCAGUCAGGUUUGUAUGGAACUCUCUUUGUUUCAUCAUCUAUAUCAGGAGGUCUAAACCCUGCCAGAUUCACCUUGAUUGCCUGGCAAGGAAAAUUCAGCUGCUCAGCUGGGAUCUGACGAAGUCUGAAACACAAACACAAUUAUAUAUGGCAUGUGUGGCUACGUAACUCAGAAUAACUUUAGUUAUUUAGAGCCCUGUGAAAUUAAUUUUAUUAUUUAUAAUUUUGAGUUGUAUUUUUCAAAUUUCGUUUUAUUUCAUUUUAUUAGACACAUAAAUAAAACAACUCAAAUAGAUGUAUAUAAAUAAUAGUAUAGUAUACAUCAUGUUUUAACUACAUAAUUUUUUUUUUACAUUUUGACAAACAGACCUCACACAGAAAAAUAAUUCAUAAUUUCUCAUUAGCGGCAGUAACGGUAACGUACAGCCCCCCACUCUUUUUAAUCAACUGCCUAUUUACAGCAAAUACUGCCCAUGCCCUCUAUAAAAAUACAAUAAGAUAAAAUGCAUAU